UACGAAGGGGGCUAGCGUUGUUCGGAUUUACUGGGCGUAAAGCGCACGUAGGCGGAUUGGUCAGUUAGGGGUGAAAUCCUGGAGCUCAACUCCAGAACUGCCUUUAAUACUGCCAGUCUCGAGUCCGGAAGAGGUAAGUGGAACUCCUAGUGUAGAGGUGGAAUUCGUAGAUAUUAGGAAGAACACCAGUGGCGAAGGCGGCUUACUGGUCCGGUACUGACGCUGAGGUGCGAAAGCGUGGGGAGCAAACAGGAU
rnacentral:rRNA from 1 species